rnacentral:misc_RNA from 1 species
AUAUCUGUACGUUGUCUAAUAAACAUCUCUGCGUCAAGAGUAUAUUUUUGGAGUUAGUCACGGAAGGAAAAGAAACUAAAAAUGACUUGACAUGGAAGGUUCAAUUUUGGACUAUGAAUCUGAGUUUUCUGCUCUUGGAGCAGGGAAACUUGGAGAAUAUGAUAAUGAACUAAUUGAAGCCCCAGAAGAUGAAGAAGACAAUGAUCUCCGAAAUGAUGAAACUUUUGGACUUUCUGAUGAUGCAUAUGAAUGGCAGGAAGACCAUAAUCCAUUACAGGCAGGUUUUCCGCUUAAUAACAGACCAAUUGAAAAUCAGGGUCUUGAAAAAUCAUCUAAGUUGUCUCAGGAGAUCACCCCCAAAGCAUUCCUAGAUGAGAAUUUCGAGGAUGUCUUCCGAAUACAGGAGGAGUUUCUGGAAGAAAGUAUUUACAAUCUUGUGGUUGAUGAUGAUGAAGAGGAGGAUGAGAGGCUUGAUUUGUCUGAGAAGAGAUUUAGUGGCAAUACAUCAGUCUCCAAUUCAAGUUAUGCUAAAGAUGUACCAAAAAAACCUAUUAAUCUUAAUCAUUUGUUUGGUCCAUCAUCUCCUCCUGGACUUUUGGAUACUGAGCACUUGGUAUCACCAAACAGCCACAGUAUUUGGUGGUCUCCUCCAGCAGAGAUUUUGCAGCCUGGUAACACACAGCCCAAGCCAAAUCCACCUGAUAGUCUUCAGUCUUUCUUUAAUUUUGCCAAAUCAACUGGGCAAACUAGCCUUCAGAAUUCAAAACAAAUGAUGCAGUCAUCUCGCAGCAUAACAAGACCUCAUACACUGGCAGAAGUGGAAAAGAAACUUUUCUCAAACGCUAAUGUUGUAACUGCAGAAGAAUUGGAAAGGCAUAUGAGAGGAGAUGUUCCUACAUCAAGUAACCAAAAUUUGGAUCAUGUGUCUCCAUUUUCAAUGGCUGCGCCCAUUCCUCCUGUUGGUUCAGCGCCUUCAUCGUUUACAUCUCAGGUGUUUAAUAAUGCACAUGAUACAAACAAAAUGUCCGGAAGCUUAAAUUCGAUGCCAACUAUUGCUUCUAUGAAUGGCAGGGGUUCACCAUGUUUACCGCCUGGAAUCCUUCCCUCACAGCAUCUGUUACAAAAUGGUGGACCAUCAUCACAACUCUUGCAAGGAAUGCAAGCACGACUUAGCAAUGGUCAUGGCCCAUCGCCUAUGCCUGGAAUGCAUCUUGGUAUGAAUAGGAAUUCAACACCAACUGGUCACAACCAGCCAUCUCAGGCAGCAAUUGAUGCCCUUACAAAACAAAGGUUACCUUAUCCCUGCAAUUCGCUCAUUGGAAACCUUGCAAGGAAUCAUCCUGUGCCCAGAUUUCCACCAAAUUUGAUAUACCCUCCAAAUUUAAUGAGAAUAGUUGGCUCAUCAGUUCCUAAUAUUAAUGGACAAAGAAUUCCUCAUCCAAAUGACAAUGUCAGGAUUCACAGACCACCUCAUCAAAUGCGUCAAUUUAAUAACCAAAACAAAAAUAAUUAUCAGCAGCAGCGAGGACGCGAUAAUUAUCGGGAACGUUUAGACACACGGCAUCCUAUUGAUGAAUAUGCUGGGAUUAUGACACAGAAGGAAAAAGAAUGGGUUAUUAAAAUUCAGCUUUUGCAGUUACACACAGAUAAUCCUUAUGUUGACGAUUAUUAUUAUGUACGCUACACUUUAAGGAAAUCAGCUGAAGAGAGGAAGAAAAAGAACAAAGAAAAUAAGGAUGAACCAAAACUUAUUAUUCCAGCACUUGCUAAAAUUGAAACAAAAGCUUAUACUCCAGCACAUUUUGAAGGAUCUUUAGGAAGAGUUUCCACAUCAAGUGUCCACAAUCCUCGACAGGUUAUCGACUUAGUUUCAAUGGCACACAAUGAUGAGCAAGGUGGAAAAUCAUCAGGAAGAGAUGUAUACAGAUAUCGACAAAUGUUAAUGGAAAUUGAAAAAGCAUAUGUUAUUUUGUUGGACAUUGACGACCUGGAGAAACGUGUUUUGGCCUUACCAGAAGAAUCAAGAAAAAAAUUAUAUGAAGACCGUACUGAGAAGAUAAAUCAGCUCUUUUUAAAUCUGGGAACUCAAGAUAAUCAUGCAGACAGUUUUCUCUAUAUGAUGUCCAUCAGGAAAGGAAGGAAACUUGUGGCUCGGUGUCUUCCUAUAUUUAAUUCGGAACAUUCAAAAGCUGUUCUGGUUACAAUAAUGAAAAAUUUGCCACAUUUUAUUAAAAGAGAUCAACCAGAGGAGGGUCUAAUGGUUUUAAGUGAGACUGUGACUCAACAAAUUAGUGUUUGUAAUUUGAAAGCAGUUGUAGAACUAAGUCAGUUGUUGUUAAAAGAUACUCCAAGUCUUUCCAAUAAGUCAUUGGUUCUUGCCCUACAAAACAAGUUUGCUUGUUCUGUGAUUAGUAGCCUUCUUAACAGAGCAGAAAUGCUUUUCCUCCCAUCUUCAAAUGUUGAAAUUGAUAACCAACUCCGAAGUGCAUGGUCCCAAUUUGCUCAAACUUUUGUUGAGACGUUGAACUCUAUGGAAAUGUCAUCAAUUGCUAAACCCUUUUUUCAGAAUUCCAACUUAAACUUCAGCUCAAUAAAAAAACCAGUGUAUUUAGAGGAUUAGCCAUAGCUGUUUAAAGAUGCCAUGAUUCUAUUGGGGAUUCAUAAACAAAAGCAUUUAUCAUUUAGUCUUGAAUUAGUCAACUGUUAUUGCUGUAAAUCGAUGGUAACAGCCCUGAGCAAAGGCAUCUGAGGAUCGAUAGCCAAGAAUAUCUUGUUGGAAGGAAUUCUUUACUCUGAAGUUUUUGUGUGUGUGUGCGUGGGGUCAUUUUUUCUUUUUUUCUUUUUUCGUUUUUAGUUAAAAAUUAUCUACUGUGAAAAUAUUUAAGAGAAUUUGUAAUAGUUUGAGGAGAAACUUCAGAUGUAUAUGUGUAUAAAUAAAAGUGAUCAGUCUUUAGAAAUAUCUCAUUUAAAGAUAAAGGGAAUUCAUAACUUUAUUUUCCUGAGUGUGUAUGUAUACGUAUGCAUGUGUGUUUCUGUGUGCAUGCAGAUUCUUAAAUGUUUCUCAGGGUUUCCUUUUUUAUUUAUUUAUUCCAUACUAGAGCAACAUUCUGCUGUGUUGAAGAUGAAUUAUUACAUUUAAGGUUUUAUAGCUUUCUUAAGUUCUGUAGCAAGUUUAUUCAACCUAUGAAACUUUAUUAAAAAAAAUUGAUUUUUAAGAACUUUUGCAUUGCUUAACUUGGUGACUCUUAAAUGCAUUUAUGAAGUUUCAGUACUGUAGAUUUCUUGAGUCUUAGAAGAAGAAAAAAAAACUCAUUUUCUAACCUCAGACUUUCUUUCCUUACUUUUUACAAAAAACGUUUUUUUUUUUAACCCAGUUUUCUUCUCCCAAUAUCUUUUGUAUCUUGGCGGGGGUCACUUCUGAUGAGAAAAUUCCAGUUAUUAAGCUCUAUUUAGUAUGGCUUUGUUUGUUAUAAAUUUACUUUUAGUUUUGAUCUUUGUUUACACUCUCCAGUUGUAACAUUUACAAUCGCAUUUUGUAUUGUAGUAGAUGAAGCUUCCAUUAUUUCUCUGGUCCUUUUAAUAUCAGGCCAAUAUAUAAACACAGUUGUUGUUUACAAUUCCAUGAAUUCUUUAUAUUCAAUAACAGGGCAAAGUCGUGGGAAAAUAUCUUAAACUAUUCCUGAGGUGAUAGAUAAUUAUAGGGUAUUAUUUUGUUAAUAUCCAUUUACAUAGUUAAAAUCCUGUCAAUAUUGACUUAGCCUUUCAUCCAUGUUUCAGUGUUGUUAAAAUACUUGUCUAAAACUGGGAUAGAUUCAACCAACCACUCUCCAUUCCCUGAAUUUGUGGCUCAGUGCCAAAGCUAUAAUCAGAAGUUAUUUUAUAACAUUGAUAGAAUAAACCAAGGUACUUUUUUUUUUUUUUUUUUUUUUUUUUUUAAAUAUCUGAGAAUUAAAGAUUACAAACAAAAUAUAUACUUUAGAUUCACACAUAUAAACAUUACAAAUGUUUAUGAAAUGGAAUGAUAAUAUAUUUCUGCAUACAAGAUGUAUGUUGAAUAAUUCAAAUUUUCUAAAAUGUAACAUUUUUAAAAAUAUUUAUUAUAAGUUAAAAUAAGGUUCAGAAACCAAUGAAAUUUUUUGUCAUUUCUUGUGUCUUUUCAUGAACCUUAUUUUCUCAGCAGACUUUUUUCUUCUUUCAAGAACUCUUUGCUAAUACAAUACAAAGAGUAAAAAGAUAAAUUUUUGUUGAGUGGGUGUAUGAAGUGAGAAAUUUUCAAACCACCAAUGACCUGAUUUUUCAAUUUUCAUUCAGCUUCUCAUAUUUAAUGUCUUUUGGAAUCAAAGCUUCAGCUCCCUAAUUCCAUCCUCUUGUUACAUUGUUGAGGCUUUGUGCUUAAUUAAAAAAAAUCUUUAUACACAACUUAAGUAACAGCUAAUUACAUGAAGUUUCAAUAAAACUGUUUCAGAAAUGAGUUGCUGGUAUGACUGCAUUUCUAUUCCUAUUUUGGCUCACUUCUUACAGAUUCCCAUAUAUCAUUUAUUACAAUUAUGAAACUUUAUGCUUGCUUAUGAAAUUAUUUUUAGGGAGGUGGAGUAUGUACUAAAAAGUAAAAAGACCUAGAUGAUAUGAUGCACAUAAUUUCAUGUGUGACGUUUGUGCCCAACUACUGUUGGUGUUGAUUUCACCCUUCAUUCUUCAAGAAUUGAAAGUACCAAAGUAUAAUAGGUUUGGAUUAUUCAAUUUUAAUCUUACUGAUUUAGAAAAUUAUAUUUCAAAUGCUUUUAUGCAUUCAGCUGUUGAUUUCAAAUGUUAUUUAUUUUGUUGAAUAGUUUUGUUGGAUUAACAAAAGUUCUGAGAUAUCUCAUUGAUUAAAGCACAACAAUUAUUAAUGAGACAUGCAUCUUAAUAAGCAUAUCUUGCUAUUGAUCUUAAUCAGUUUUUCUAGCAUCAACAAUUAAUGUUGCGAGUUGAAACCCAGCAUUUUCUGUGAGUGUAUAUUUACUCACAAAAUAGUUUGUGAGUAUGAGAAUGUUGAGUUGGUGCAAAUGUUUGAGUAUUAAUCUAGAUACUUUAUAACAUGUUUAAUGUUUCACUGAGCUGUAGUCCGGCUGGGAGGUAACUUCAUUUUAAAUUCUAGCAGUAAAUGUUUUGAGGUUUAUUUGACCCUGAACCAUUAUAUCUUACAUAAAGGGAUUUGUAUCUAAACAGGAGAUUGUCAGUCUAAAUCAAUUAUGCUUUGCAUAUGCUCUUGUUAAUAUCCAUUUUCUUUCCCUUAAUCUUGGGUUACAUUUUUAAGAAUCCAAUACUAAUUAGGAAUAUUGUGAAACUGACCAUCUCUACCCAAAUGAAUGAAUAUUUGCUAAAAACAGUGACAAAUUGCCUUACAUAAUUAUAUAUUCAUUUCAUAAAAUAUCUGGGUUGUGUUAAAUUUUGUUUAUUAAAACGUGCAUCUGCUGCAUGACAAAACAUUUUUAAAUGCAGUUUCAUCAUUUUACUUCUAAAGUUUUAAAGCAAGCUUCCAAAGCUGUAUUAAAUAUUUCAUUAACCAUAUACAUUGCAGGGUAAAGGGAAAAAAAACAAAGCAAAUAUGUAUAUAGAAGAUUAAAAUGUUGGCCUAUAUUAAGGUAUGAAGACAUAAAAAACUUACUGUUAAACAAUUUUUGAACAAUUCUUAAACUGUAGUGAAAGAAAUUAGGACUAUUUUCAUUUGCAUUUGAUAUGUUACAUACAAUCUUUCAACUGCUUAAUCUCAAGUCUUUAACUUGCUUCUGCUAGACUCUAGACCAUAGUCUCAUAUGUAUCAGUAAAAAUUUAGGAAUAUAUAAAUUAUUCCUCUUUAUACUUAACUGGUAAACCAUAUUGGUCUUUAGCCUAGCAGAUUAAGGUAUUGAUGUUCUCCUCUCCAGUUCAAUUCUUGGUGAUGGCAACACUAGAUAUAUUCUUGAAAAAAAACCCCAAAAGACUAGAGAUUGAGGAGUUUGAAAGUCUGUACAUAUAUAUAUUUAAAAAUAAAAAUUGAAUGCUCAAGUAAAUAUUCCUCUUAUUUUAUUAACUUUAAGUGAAAGAAAUUAUAACAAUUAUAUUUUUUAAAAUGUCAUUCAGGCUACAGUGGAGCAGCAAAUGUCUCUGACCUUCUCGGGCCUUUGUAGACAGGGAGAUAACAAUAAGGUUAAUAAACUAUGUUCACUGUGCAUUCUGACAGAUAAUUGAACAGGAAAACAUGUAGAGGGAAUGAAUUCAAGAAAAUUGGGCAAAAUAUUUCAUUUGGUGGAAAGAGCAGUGUUAAUUCCAUUUUUUUUUAACCAUCUAAAACACCAUUUUAAAACAUUUAUUGAUCUACUCAUAAAAAAAGUAUAAAAAAUAGUUUGUGGCAGAUAUUUGAUUGAUGUCACAUUUUUCCUCGAGUUACAAAAAACAAAUCAAUAUCAAUUAAAGCUCAAUUUCUAAACUGAACAUAUAGAAAUUAGUUUUUUCUAAUUUUCUGGGAGCUUAAGAUUUCUGUCAACAUCUAACAGUUUACUUAAUAUUUCUAUAGAGCAAGAAACAUUUUAUCCUAGACAUUGAGACAUACAGUCUCACAGCAGAAAAUGAAAUUUUGAAAUGGUUUCUGAAUUGUAAUAAGCCAUCCAUUUUUCUCUCUAUAAAUAUUCUUCACCUCCCUAUUCCUGCACUCGUAUUUAAUGUUUGGAGAUACUAAUAAAAACAAUACUCUCGAACAACUUAUAGGACAGGGGCAUGAAAUUGUGUGUGCAUACAAUAUACAUGAAUAUAUGUAAACAAGCCUGUUUAAAUGUUAAAAUUUUUAUGCAUGAUUAAGUCGAUGCAGUAAAAUGUAUGCUCUUACUCUUUUAGCAUAUAUAUAUAUAUAUAAGAUAUGCUAAAAAUACACACUGUAAUGUUUACACUUUACAUUCUUGUGGAUGUCAACUUCUGAUAUUCCUAUUCUGAACAGUGCUUCUUUUCUUCAGUUACAUUUUCUAAAAUUCAUACUUGUAAAUUAAAACACAUAUACAUACAUACGGUAUGGUUCUUUAUUGAAAGUACAUUAUAACUAUUCAGCUUAGUGUUGAAUUAAGUAAUCAUCAAACCUAAAACCUUCUGAAUUCAACUUUUUAUACAUGAUUUCUGAGAUUUAAGAAGUCUAAAGGAAAAAAAAUAUAUGCUGUUAAAAGUAAAAUCCUCUAUGAAAUCAUCUAAAUAAUAUUACCAAAACUAUAAGAAAACUAGCGUGCAUAUUUGAAUAAUAUAAACAUGAUGCAAAAAUUACAACUUACUAGAAUUAUCUAAUUCCAUCGAUUAUCUAAUUGAUUCCAAUGUUUUAUUAAAUGAAAGUUGUAUAUCUCACUAAAGACUACAAAGACCAUUUUGCUUCUAACCCCAAAUAUAGUUAACUUUAAAUCAUGGGACAAAACCUUAAUACUAUUAGAAAAGCAGUCAACCUUAAAAAUUGGGACAAUACCAACUGUUAUUAGUUGGUUUAUUAUUAGUAAAAAUUACUCUAGAUUUAUCCAAUUUGAUAUUGUUGAUUUUUAUUCCUUUCUAUCUAAAUCUUUCUCCAUCAGAUCUGUAGAAUUCACUAAUGAUAUAUAAAUGAUAAUGAAAUUGUUUGCUGGGAAAUAUCCACUGUUUAGCAAAGAUUCUGUCUGGAUUUUAAAAACUCAGAUCUAAUGGUUCUUUCAUUGUAAGUAUGGGGUCAUAUGAUUGUGCUGACUUGUGUGUUGUUGAAGGACUACCAAGUAUGAAAAUUGUAUAAACUUUGGUCUAAAGAUGGAUUGGCUAUAUCCCUAUAUGCCAAUGGAUACUCUUCAGAUGUAAUAGAACCUCAUUAAUGCCAUCAUAAAUUUGGCUUCUCAAUGGCUAUUUAAUAGAAAUUAAAUAUAAAUUCUUUUUGUUGUUACCCUCAGUGUGGUCUGAAACUUUUAUAAAAUGUUGCCAUUCUGGAUAAGUAUCUACUGAAAGUCUGGAAUUUAUUACCACCAUGGACUGACUGGCCUUCCAUAUUCAUUCAUUCUUCACAUCAUACCCAUAAAUCAAGCUGACCUUGCUACUUUUAUUUUGAUAUCCUUGAGUACUAGUUAGGUUUAGUUUAACAUACACAUUCAUUUGUGGUUCUGUGAAACAAGUAAUUUAAAUGUUGAGUUGUACCUCCUUUUAAUAUUUGUCCUCAGCAUGCACCUGGUGAAUCAUUAUUUACUUCAAAUACUUCAUUGUUGACCAGUGUAAAUUAUCUUGAUUAAUUCCUAUGAAACUCAGUUAAAAUGGAUUUUCUAUAAGGGACUGUCAUUUUAUUUUACUCACAUAUUUUAUUUUUGUUUGAGUAAUUAAUCUUGUAUAGUGCUUGUAGCUACGUCUGUACCUUGAUUUUAUACUACUAUCUAGUAAUUUGAUUUUCAUUGGACAUUCAUAAUUGUUGAAGCAAAAGCUUUUAUUGGUACUAACAAGAAACCAUGGAAUAGAAAUAGCUGUAAGCACUAUAUAAUGCACAGACACUAAACACUUUGUGAGUGCAUAUUGAGCACUUAACUGUUUUCAUGGAAAAACUCACCAUGUUGUAUGUGUUAUAUAUAUAUAUAUGAAAUCUCAUUUAUAGUUUAUUUAAAAGAUCAAACCCUUACAUUUCAUGAAUUUUCAAUACAACCUUGGAGUACAUUUUUAACUUCUAUGAAAUUCUGAAAAAAUUAAACUGCAAAAUCAUUUGAUUACAGAUAAUCACUGAUACUGUUACUAAUAAACCAGUGGAUUAAAGUUUUUUCCUUGGUUUCAAAUUGUGAAAAAAAAUACAUGAUAUAAUUUACCUUUGCUUAUGAACUACUCCAAAUUAUCUCAUUCUCUUAACAAAAUAUUUGAUUCACAAAUUCUUUAAUUCUUGAAAAUUGAAACUUUAUGAAUGAAUUUAUCAAAUAACAAUGUAUUGUAAAUCAUUAGAAUUACUUUAAAGUGAUAAAUAUAAAAUUAUAUAUCAGAUGUGACCAGGAAAGGGAGAGCUCAAACAGUAUGAAAUGGUUGUAAAUUAUAUAUAUAUGCUUUUUUUUUUUUUUUUUUUUUUUUCUAAAAGAAAAUUACUUACAAUUUGUAUAUUUCCACAAUAUAUAAACUCUAUUGCUUUACAAAAUAUUUGAAAUGAAGAUUGUAAGAUACUACUGUAUUUUUAAAAUUUUAUCAAAUGUAAUAUUUUUAUUUUAUUACUUAACUGAAAAGAAUAUAUAUAUAUAUUAUCUCAAGUAAAACUUUGAUUUUGAAUGAUUGUAAGAAGAAUGAAUUUAAUUUCAUUUUGUUUAUAAUUUACUUUUUUUUUCCCCCCUUCAUUGAUAAAUUUGGAGUAACAUGAAAAUAUUUCUUCUUUCCAUUUUGCCUGUAUAAAAUUAGGGUUUCAGACAAUGAAUUGGUUUGGAAAUUUUAGAUUCAAAAUGUUAAUGUAAUUUUUUUUUUUUCCCACCCCCAACAUUUAUUUCAAAUGGGGAUUCCAGCUAUUUUUUUUUAAUGCCCACAUUUACAUGUGAUAAAUUUAAUAUUAUUAUUGUUCCUUUCAUUAUUAAAACCUUAAAUGAUAAUCCCUUAAUAAAGUUCAUUGCUAUCAUCACCUUAAUAUUUUUAUGCAAAAGAAAGUUUUUGUUAAAUAUACAAUUGCCUAUGGGGUGACAUAUGUUAAGCCCAAAUGGAGAUUUUUGCUUCAAUUUUCACAGUUAAGCAAAAAAAUUCAUUUUAAAACAUGGACAGUAUAUCAUAAGAUUUUUUUACAUCCUUCUCACUUUCCAAGAAAUUAAAUGUUUGAAUACUUUGUUUGCUGUUUUGUACAGGUCAUUGGAAAGUAGUUUUACAAUUAUGUUAACUCCUCAUUCUGUUUUUUUUUUUUUUUUUUUUUGUAAACGUAUGUUAUUUGUUAGUGGCAAAAUAGAUGGGGUUUUUUUUGUUUUUUUUUUCUUUUGGCAAAUUUUAGUUUAUUGGUGCUAUAGAUAAUUGUGUGACCCUUAGUAUUUCAAAUUUUAAGCUUCUGGAGAAAAUUUAUAUUGAAAAAUUGCUUUAUGAAUAAAUGGAUUGUUAUAAAUGCUGAUUUUAUAAAAUUCCUAUAAAUUUAAUGUCCUGUCAUACCUUAAGAUAUUUUGUGGGUCUCAACAGUUGUUUUUAGUGAAAUUUAGAAUUGGUUAUAAUUUUGUUAGCUUUAACAUUUCAUUUAAUAGAGCAGCUUUAUUGGUUGGUUUAUUCAUACACUAAAUCCCAUUUGUUUUACCUUGAAAAUGCCUUAGUAUAAAAAAUAAAUGUCCAGUCUCAUUUAAUUUGAAACUAUUAUUUAAUCAUUAAUAUAAAAGGCAUAUAGUAGUUGAUUUAUUUUUAUUGUUGCAAAAGGGAAAUGGAUGUGAAAAUUUUUUUUUUUAAAUGUCCACAAAAAUUCUAAUCAGUGCUUUGUCUCCUCAAAGUAUUACUAUUGGUUAUGUAAUUUUAUUUCUUAGGGAAAUGCUAUUUUAAAAUUAUGUUCUGAAAUUUUUUCUUGUCACAAAAAAAAAAACUGAUUUUUAUUGUGAAAAUAUGUAAAAUCCUCAUAUUUUUAUAUUAAUUACACAAAAAGUUGUCUUUUGCUUUAUUUUUCUUCAACUUGAAUUAAAGGUAAAAAGCAAACUUAGUUGUCAUGUUUACUCAAAGCCUGUCUACUCUGUAACACACUGUUGGUUGAUUAGGAUGUGUGUGUGUUGUAUAAUUUGUGGCACAAAAUUUUAAAUAUAAUUCUGGAAAAGUUAUAAUUACAACUGGUAUAGUCAUAUUACAAAAGAUAGUUGGGAAUUCUUUUUAAGUGAUGUUGACUUUGGAAAACUGUUGUGGAAUCUUGCUAAAAUAAAUAUAUAUGCAUAGUUAUUCACACUUCAAAAUUAUAAGAAUAAAAGAAAUUAGCUGUGCUUGUAAAAAUCAUUAGUCUUAUACUACCAUAGUUUGGCAGGUUGAAAAACUUGUAUCAAUUCCUCAUAGAUUUUAUAAGAUACUCUUUUCUUUUUUUGCAUAUCUUCAAUGGCAGCAUAUAACAUUGACUCUAGUAUGAAUCAUCUGGAUCGUUACAUUCCUCUGAUUCUAUCCUCUGGAUCUGAAGUAGCUGGUUAGGCUGUUAUUGAAGACUGCUAUUUAUAAAUGCAUGAUCGGAUGUGGUCGUCUUGCCGGCAUGAGCCAUUAUUUCAAAUGUAAAAUUUUGAAUAAAUAAAACAAAGAAGAAAUAAUUUUAGUUAUUGUUUCUUAUUUUAUGAUUUUCAAUGGCUCUUUAACUUCUUCCAAGUAGAAGAUUACAUUCUUUUCAUGUUUGAAUUAACUAUAAAAAAAAAAGCCUCCCACUUUGCUCUCUAUAGAAAAUAUAUAUAUAUACUGUCUAUCCAGUUUGUCCCUGCAUUAAUCGCAAUAACUAAAUUUCUAGUGCUGCUACUGGAAAUUUUAUUAUUUAUAACGUAAAUUAGUUUUCAUUUUCUCAUAGAUCUACAUAUUUGUAUUUACCCUUUUCAUGAAUCCCUCUCCUUAUUUCAUGAUUAUCUUCAUCUACAUAAUAAACCCUAUUUUGCUGUCACUUUUUAAUACUCUGUCAGUACAUUCUGUUCAUAUUUUGGACUUGGACCUUUAUAAAUUUAAAAGUUUGGCUCCAUUUAAUAGCAAGGAUUUUUGGAUCAGAAACUUUGCUGUUGAAUAUUUAGCAGAAUGCCUCAUGUCCUUCAAUGUGGUAAAUGCUAUUAGUUAGAAGAAAUGAAAUUUUGAUUUUUGUCUUUAAAUUAAAAUUCUAUAAUCAUCCUUUGCUUCAAGGAUAUACACUGCUCUAUUAACACCUUUCUUUGAAUUUUAGGAUAGAAUUUUUUGGAGUUGUUAUAUAGUUUACUUUUAAGUUGUUCGUUUCUAAAUAGUUCAUGCUGGAAUUGAGAUCACUAAGCGACACUUGGCAAAGAAGACUUGAUUUGACUAAGAUUUUUUUUUUUCUUCCACUUAGGUUCUAUAUUCAAUGUAUGUAAUAGUUUAUGUAUAAAACCUGUUAGAAAUAAGUGUUAUUAUUCAAUACUUGAAAGUUAGAACAAUCAUGAUUUUAAAAAAAUAAAAUUCACUAUUACAAUCUCUAAACUAUAUCAAAUAUUAAUGCCUUAAAACUUUGAAUUCAAUAUUUCAUUGCAUAAAGCUUUGAUUCAUUGAUUUCAACGCAAUAAUAAAUUUCCACUUUCUCAGUCGCAUUUCAUAUGAUUAUCCAUUUCUCAGAAGUAUUAUACUUGUUGAUUUUCAAGCUCAGCCAUCUACCAAACCUCAUUAUCCAUUUAUGCAUGUUUUUAUUUUUGGCAACUUAACAUGAACAAUUCAAAUAAGAUCAUCGAAAUAUACAAAAUUCUUAUCUCUGGAAAAAAAAAAUAAUAAUAAUAAUAAUAAUAAAUGGUAUUGAAAUCCUUUUCUAAUUCAGUAUUGUUCCUAAAAUUUUUCUUGAUUCUCUCAGUUAUUUUUACAUUUUGUUUCCUUCAAAUCUUUUCACAAAUAUUAAAACCAUUGUCAAUGAGUAAAUAUUCUGAAAAUAUGCUUUGCAUUAUUGAAGUUCUACCUUUCAGCAAAUGACAAGUAUUUACAGUAGAUGAUAUUAUGUAAAUUGGAGCAGAUAAAGUAAAUCUACUUCUUUCUGCAAAUACAGUUCCAUUGUAUAUUAUUUAUAUGGCCAAAACCCUGUUGAUGGUUUCUAUUUAGUCAAUGAUUUGGAUUGUAUUUUUAUAAAGUUAUUUCUUCAAGGAUUUAUUUUGGGGUUUGAGAUUACUUGUCAAAAGAAGUGCACCUUAUUUUGCUAUGUCUUCUACGUGUGUGUGUGUAUGUAUGCAUAUGUAUAUAACUAGUUGGAGAUUUCAUUUGAAAUGGAAAGAACCACAAAGUCAGGUACUUGAUAUGUUAAUUAGAGGGUAUAUUAAUUUAGUGACUCUUACAGGACUAGUACUGCUACAUUCUUGAUGAAUUCCCCAAAAAUGUAACAAUUUUGUAUGAGUUAAAAAAAAUAUAUACGUAUAAUAUAGGAAGGAUUUUUCCACAUUAAUAGGUGGCCAUCAAUUAUGUUUAUACUUCAAUUCUACAAGCAACUUCAAAUUGAAAGCUAAAAGGUGGUGAGGUGAGUGGUCAGUAUUUAAUCUAGUCAACAAUUUGCUGCUGAAAUUAUAACCUGGUAUCUAAUGGUCUUUUUAAAUUGCCUAGAUUGUGUAUAUAUUGUCUUCACCCCUGGGUUUUGUUCAAGCAUCUGUCAUAUAAAGUAUUUCUUUGACUUGAUUACAAAAUUCUAAAUAUUAUUGGACCUUUACAGAGGUUUCACUUGUGAGUCUACAUAUCAAAUAUGGCUAUUGUCUAAUUUCGUACACUAUUUAUCUUCCAGAUGAACACUGAACAAGUAUGGUUUAUGUGAAAUUAAUUGUACUAUAAUAAACAUAACACCAUAGAUGUUUGAAAGGAAUCUUUAUAUAAGACUAAAAUUAAUAUUCGGCUUACAGAAUAUUAUUGUAGAAGCUAGAUAUUCUAAGUAUAUAGAUUUCCUGUGUUUAGAAGAGCAAUGAAAAAGGGUAAAUUGAUUGGAAUUGGUUUAAAAAUUCACUCCAUUAUGUCUCUCUAACUGAAACUUUAUUGCAAGUUUACAACAAAUCCAUGUUUUAACCCUUUUUCAUGAGCUAAUUGAAACACACUGAUGGUGCUUCAUUUUGAAUAUAAUCAACAAUUGAGAGGAUUUCAGUGAAAUAAUUUUGUCAUUUUAACUUGGUGUUUCAAAAACAACAAAAGGUUCUUACAUAAAAUUAUAAUUGGAGGUUUUAAUUUAAGCAUAAAUACUUACGGUUUGGUAUUAAGAGGAUAAAAGUUGAAUUUUUUCCCCUCCUUUGUGUAAUCCAACUUUUAUUGAUCUUGUUCUAGCAAGACAUUGUCAUGUGGUUCUAAUCUUGUCAGAUCUAGUGGUUUUUAUUGUAUUUUAGCUAAUCCAAAAGGAAGUAUUAAUGUGUAUUUUUAUUACAAAAUUAUUUUUCAUAAAAAUUUGCUUCAUAUUUUGUAAAUUAACAGAUGUGAUGCUUCUUUAAAGGUUUCAUAUUACAGAGAUAUAUAAAUAUUCAAUAUCAUUAAUAUUUAACAAAUUUUUCAUACUGUUAUCUUAAUCUUUUCUACUUGAUUGAUAUUUCAUCUGGUUAAGUAUCCAUAAGUAUGAGUUGCAAUGUGACUAGAGCUAGUGAGUCUAACAAAACCCAUACCUCCCAACAUACUCAUAAUUUAAACGCAGCAAUUAUUGAAAUGCUUUUGUAGUUCUUUCACUGCUUAAAGUAGUGAGCUGUAUCAAGCUAUUUAGUGGUGAGAAUACAAUAUUUUUACUAUGACCACAGUGAAAUGAUAUAAACUACUUGGUCAAACGCAACUCCUGAACCCAACAAAUUUACACCCACACUUGUUUUUACUUAAAUUUUAUCCCUUUUUAAGGACAUAUAUUUCUCCAUGUAUUCUUUGGUAUUUACACAUCGAAUUUAUUCAGUUAAUUUCAUAAAAUAUUCAGAAUUAUGAAGAGGCAUAUAAACACAUGUAAAAUAAUCCAUGCCAUCCAACUAAAUAUUUCUUAGGAUACCUUGAUUUCUAACUUUCAUUUUUAAUUUUAGAGUUUGCAAUAUCUGAAAUUUCAAAUACUCAUUAAAUAGAUCAACAUGUCACAUAUUACCUUAUUUUUAACAUGAAAGUGUGCGAUACAUCAUUGUUUGAAUAUUCUUUACUAGUGAUAUUGAUCCAUGGCAGGUUAAACCUGUUGACUUUAGUAGGGAUAUUCAUCUUCCAGGGGGAGAAAGGAUUCCUACUGCCUUUGCUAGUCCCAUGAGGAAAUUUGAGAUCAUUGCAAGCUAACAAAACACUAGCCAAUUAUAAAGUACCCUUGUUGCUAACAAUAAUGAACUAUUCUCACCACCCACUAUGAAAGGACAACUGAAUUGGCUCACUUUGAGUCUACUGACCUUUUCAGAUGCACAGCACUAGUGACUAAACAAAAGAUGUUGAUCUUUCUAUUAGUAAGCCAGCAUCAUGCCAAACUCCUCUAUCUAUGACUCUUAUUAAUAUAUUAACUUUGAAUAAAUUAUUUGUAUACAAGACAUUAAUUUGUCUGAAAUUUAUAUAAAUUUCUGACUUGGCAUUGUUUCUGCUGUGAUUUAGUCACAUUCUACAAAGCUGUGGUUUGUUCUUUCUCAUCAAACAUUUAAAUAAAUUUGAAUGUUUUAUUUCAAUAACUCAAUAUAUUUGAAUUGACUGCCAUAUGAUUUACUGAAAGUGUUUGUAAAUUUGAAUUUUUCAACGAAUCCUGUCAAGAUUAAGUAGUAACUUUGUAGUGAAAAGUAAACAAAAUAAAACUCUCUUGAAAGUGGUUUUAUUAUCUUGAUAAUUUCUUGACAAGAGAGCACCAGUAAUUUAAGCAAGUACUAUCGAAUUGUCUUGCUCAAAGUAUAUGACUUCCACUAACUCAUAACCCAACCAAGUUAUGUAUUGUUCAUUUGAUGAAUGCAUUUCCCCCAAACUUAACUGAUAUUCAUAAGAAUUGUUUUUGAUACUUAAAACUGGGUGGAUAUAAAAACAAUUUUUUUAAUAUAUUGAAAUAAACUCCACGAACAAAACAUGACAAAUUUUAACUUAGCAAUGCAAUUAAGAGGCCAUUAACUCUUAGCAAACUCUGAGUAGCCACACAUUUUGUUCAAGUCCGCAUUCUAUACAAAUAUUAACAUAUUUUGCCUAUUUUUGUUGACUAUCAUUUUUGAAUUUUGAAAAUAUUGCCAAAUCUGGCUAUUUAAAGGUACUUUUAAAUGGAUGAAAUAAAUGGAAAAAUUGUGAUAGUAACUUGUAAGCUGAGGCAAGGAAUUUAUUUGAUAUCAAUAUAUUUCAAUAACUAAUUAAUGUAAAAGUAUUUUCAGAGUAAAGUGGAUAAAUUUUUGGAAUUGCAAGCAUAAGUUUGUACACUUAAGAUGUCUUGUAAUAUUUGCACCAAUUGUAUACUGGUAUUUUGUAUGAUGGGGCUUAAGCAGAAAUUAAUUACAGCAAUUUAUAUGCCUUGUUAUAAAUUUAAUAAAAUUAUUGAGUCAUG